rnacentral:tRNA from 1 species
GGCCGCUUGGUCUAGUAGUAUGAUUCCUGUUUUGGGUUACGCUUACAUAAGCGGGAAACACACAUACAGGAGGUCGUGGGUUCAAUUCCCACAGCGGCCC